rnacentral:lncRNA from 1 species
GAAGAAUUGUGUCGCUAAUUCAAUCAUCUCUUUUCUUUUUUGUUGUGUUUUCCCUCUUCACAAUUUACUCUUGAGCCGAUUUUUAUGAAUUUGUUCACAAGAACAAAAUUUAAGUCUGUGGAUUAUAUAUGGACUUGUGCUUGUCACAUCUGUUUGAUAUUGGCUGUUAUGUAUGGGUCAAAUAGUGGAAGGCUAUGCUUUUCAUGCUGAAGGACCCAGCCCAGCUUGAUAGCUACCUCAGAGGCAUCUGUAUGGAAGAUAAACUGUUCUGAGAAGUCAGGAGUGUGGAGUACAGUGUGACCACACGACGUUUCCUUCAUAUGUGGGGCAGCCUUUUGCUAUUUGGGCAUCCACCACACUU